rnacentral:rRNA from 1 species
GACGAACGCUGGCGGCGUGCCUAAUACAUGCAAGUUGAGCGCUGAAGGUUGGUACUUGUUCCUACUGGAUGAGCAGCGAACGGGUGAGUAACGCGUGGGUAAUCUGCCUUUGAGCGGGGGACAACUUUUGGAAACGAAUGCUAAUACCGCAUAAUAUCUUUAAACACAAGUUUUAAUUUUGAAAGAUGCAAUUGCAUCACUCAAAGAUGAUCCCGCGUUGUAUUAGCUAGUUGGUGAGGUAAAGGCUCACCCAGGCGAUGAUACAUAGCCGAACUGAGAGGGGGGUCGGGCAAAAUGGGAACGAGAAAAGGCCCAAACCUCUAAGGGAGGGAGCAGGAGGGAAACUUCGGGAAAGGAGGAAAGGCCGAACGAGGAAAGCCGCGGGAGGGAAGAAGGGUCUCGGAUCGGAAAAAUCGGGUGGUAGAGAAGAACGUAGGGGGGAGUGGAAAGCGCAUCAAGUGACGGUAACUAACCAGAAAGGGACGGCUAACUACGUG